CAGUCGCCGCGGUAAUACGAAGGGGGCUAGCGUUGCUCGGAGUCACUGGGCGUAAAGGGUGCGUAGGCGGGUCUUUAAGUCAGGGGUGAAAUCCUGGAGCUCAACUCCAGAACUGCCUUUGAUACUGAAGAUCUUGAGUUCGGGAGAGGUGAGUGGAACUGCGAGUGUAGAGGUGAAAUUCGUAGAUAUUCGCAAGAACACCAGUGGCGAAGGCGGCUCACUGGCCCGAUACUGACGCUGAGGCACGAAAGCGUGGGGAGCAAACAGGAUUAGAUACCCCCGUAGUCCCUGUCUCUUAUAC
rnacentral:rRNA from 1 species